GACGAACGCUGGCGGCGUGCUUAACACAUGCAAGUCGAACGGAAAGGCCCUGCUUUUGUGGGGUGCUCGAGUGGCGAACGGGUGAGUAACACGUGAGUAACCUGCCCUUGACUUUGGGAUAACUUCAGGAAACUGGGGCUAAUAUCGGAUAGGAGCUCCUGUUGCAUGGUGGGGGUUGGAAAGUUUCGGCGGGUGGGGAUGGACUCGCGGCUUAUCAGUUUGUUGGUUGGGUAGUGGCUUACCAAGGCUUUGACGGGUAGCCGGCCUGAGAGGGUGACCGGCCACAUUGGGACUGAGAUACGGCCCAGACUCCUACGGGAGGCAGCAGUGGGGAAUAUGGCACAAUGGGAGGAAGCCUGAUGCAGCAACGCCGGGGGCGGGAUGGCGGCCUUCGGGUUAUAAACCGCUUUCGCCUGUGACGAAGCGUGAGUGACGGUAAUGGGUAAAGAAGCACCGGCUAACUACGUG
rnacentral:rRNA from 1 species